GCCGACGUAGCUCAGCUGGUAGAGCAGCUCACUCGUAAUGAGCAGGUCCCCGGUUCGAGUCCGUUCGUCGGCUCCA
rnacentral:tRNA from 1 species